AUGCCGAUACGUCAGAUACGCCAUCGAUACGGGUAUCCAUGGAGUAUCCUGUUUUUCGAUUUAAAAAGAAAGAAAAAAAAGGCCGAUACAGCGGCCAGAACGGCGCCGACACGUCGGGGACACGGGAAGCCCAGUACAAGCCCACUCGUAACCCUAAACAGCCAGCGCACUCGAUUCGUUCGGGCGGUAGACUGGAUCGAGUUCGAGUACUCGCGGGCAAGCGCAUCGCCGCGGACGACUGGAGUAGCUCAUCGUCGUCGCCGCCGCCGCCUGAGUCGGUUGUCGCUGCCGGCGUUGGCUGAAGUCGCUCACCGCCGUCUGGGCUCGCCUUGCCUAUGCCGCCGCUGGCCGUCGUCCGGACUCGACCCGCCUCUGCCGCCACCGCCACCGCCCGUCGCUCGUCGCCAGCAUGAUAAUUCCUUCCCUUACACAUUCCCUGCUCUUCUUCGGUGGUGUUCGGUCCUCCCGCACUUGCUUGCUUGCUGCUUUGAUGGUGCCGUGAUGCAGGCGUGUUGGCUGUGUGUGCUUGUUUCGCCAUGCAUGCGUGGCUGUUAUUUAUGUGUGCGUGCUUGCUGA
rnacentral:rRNA from 1 species